rnacentral:tRNA from 1 species
GUGGUUGUAGUUCAGGGGUAGAGCGCUUGCCUAGCAUGUGUGAAGCACUGGGUGCGAUUCCCAGCACCACA